rnacentral:lncRNA from 1 species
GGUCAACAUAGGAAUAUUUGCACAAGAAUAGACAUUAUCUCUCGAUUCUACAUUUUUCUCAUACAGAAUACAUGGCCGGUCUGCUUCAUUAAAUUAAUAUGUAGUUUUUAGAUCAUAGUAAUUAAACUGCAUUAUAUUUUUUAGAUCAAGAAGUGUUCUCUUAAAAGGGAGAGGUAUUGUCAGUGGCAAAUUUGAGGAAUCUGAUGCAUUGGUGGAAUACUGCAUGUGGUCAUGAAAUUAUAGCUGCAAUCCUCAAGGUCUGAAAAUUGGAGGUUUUUGUACCAACCUUUGCUAAUCAGCAGGAAUCAAAAGACGUGCUUAAGUAACACUACUAGUUUUGUAAAGAAAACGAAAUACUAGACUGGCAUAUACUAGAUUUGUUGAAAUAGUUGAACUGAGGCAAUGAUAGUUAUUCAGGCAUUGGGGCCGGCCGGGGGGGGGGGGAUGUAUAAAAAUGUACUUGUUUUUAAAAUGUAAAUUUAUAUUUGACUCAUAAUUUUCUCAGAACCAAUCCAAUAUCCAUCACUACAUUAAACAUAUUUUCAGAGGUCAAGUAACUACCAAUGAUUUGAGCUCUAGGUUUGGAAAUAGAAAUCACAAAAUGUUUAUGAAAAAUUUAUAUA